AUGGCCACCUUCUGCUGGCAAGUGGGUCGGACACUAGGCAAUACUAGCAGGUUCUUUAUCGUCCUCACGUUUGGUUCCUUUAAACCAAAGGAAGGCUUGUGUCUUUCAUAUCUCCACAAGUUUGCUUGGGUCAGAGCCGGAGGCAAUGGAGGGACGAGCAUUUUCACACUUCAAGACUAUCAUCACGAUGUUUGGGCGCUUCUGUACUGGUUCAAGCUGCCAGUGAUGGGUACCAGGCGUUUCAAUGAUCAGGAGGAUUGGUCCGCGAAGGUUGUUUCCGAGGAGGGUGAUGUUCUUGUCAGAUGUUAUGGCCAGUUAUUGCACUGUGACCAAAAAAGAAAUUUUGUAGCCAACUUCCAGUUUGAUGAUACCCUAAAAACACUUCCAAUUUGA
rnacentral:rRNA from 1 species